CAGCCGCCGCGGGAAUACGAAGGGGGCUAGCGUUGCUCGGAAUGACUGGGCGUAAAGGGCGCGUAGGCGGCGAUCAAAGUCAGGCGUGAAAUUCCUGGGCUCAACCUGGGGGCUGCGCUUGAUACUUGGUUGCUUGAGUGGGGAAGAGGGUCGUGGAAUUCCCAGUGUAGAGGUGAAAUUCGUAGAUAUUGGGAAGAACACCGGUGGCGAAGGCGGCGACAUGGUCCUUGACUGACGCUAAGGCGCGAAAGCGUGGGGAGCAAACAGGAUUAGAUACCCCCGUAGUCCCUGUCUCUUAUAC
rnacentral:rRNA from 1 species